rnacentral:lncRNA from 1 species
ACCCGCCAGCCCCGCGCUCUACCAGGCAGAGCGCGUGUGGCCGCCGAGCACAUGGACCCACUGGUCAAGCGGGCUCGGCAAGGCCAGGAUGAAGAGAAGCUACGAACUUAGCAUUCCCAGAGCCCCCCGAGUGGAUAUCCGCGUGGAAAGGAUGUUGGCAGCCCCGGUGACCUCGGAGUCACGGCUGGAUCCACCCUCUUUAUACCCUUUAAGCGUUCCAGAAGGAUUUUGAGAUCCUUUCCUAAAUCAAAGGUGGAAUAUUUGGGGAUUUGGAAAAUUGAGCCAGUCUCUCAGAAGAACCAGUUGUGUUACUUUGCUGUGAGAUGCCUGCCCUAAGAGAGGAGCAGAAGGUCGGAACGGGUCCUCUAAUGUGAUAAUUAGAUGUGAAGCGUUGACUUAAGAGAUGCCAAGUAACUCAGCAGAUGUCACACAGACGAUAAAUAGCAAAGAUGGAAGUCUUCAUGCCGGAGGCAAUCCUAUAAGACAGCUGAGUUCUGCAGAGCUGGUAGGAGACAGACUUGCUCAGGUGAUAGAUCCAGCCAUGAUACUGACCCUAAGAGAAUGAGACGCUCUGCAGAAGACAGAAGAUUCCUGAAACUGGGAAAGGUGCCUAGAAAUCCUGAUAAGAGUGAAGAAGGAGCUGGCAGAGCAGCCUUCCUCCGCACUAUGAAAGACAUCCAACAGAGAGCAAGUUCCCACCUCACUUCCAGCUUGACUCCUUUUUAUCUCCUAACUGUGGUCUGUGAUGUCUUCAGCAAUGGUAUUAACUAGUUCUGGGUACCUGGAGGCACAGCAGCCAUGUUGAACCUAUGAGGUGAUGAAAAACCAUGCAACUAGAAACCAGAAUGGAAGAAAAGAAGAAGCUGGAUCCUUGACUGAAUUGUCGAUGGGGGAUAGUCCAUCAUCCCAGGGCUAAGACCACCUCCAGAUUUCUUGUUUGGUGAAACAAGUCCUGAUUGUUUACAUUCCCUCGUGUUGAGCUGUCUCUUGCUUGUAGCUGAAAGCAUUUCUAAUAGAUAUUCAGAUUAUCAGCCUUAGCUCCAAGCUAGAAUACUCUAUGGGACCUUAGCUUCUCCAUGAAUUCCUUUGCUCAUCUGUGUAAUGCUCAAUAAAUGUAAAUUGAACCCUGAAUGAGGGACAAUGACA